GCUUGCACCGAGCGGAAGAGUUGCGAACGGGUGAGUAACGCGUAGGUAACCUGCCUGGUAGCGGGGGAUAACUAUUGGAAACGAUAGCUAAUACCGCAUGAUAUUGAUUAUUGCAUGAUAGUCAAUUAAAAGGUGCAAUUGCAUCACUACCAGAUGGACCUGCGUUGUAUUAGCUAGUUGGUGGGGUAACGGCUCACCAAGGCGACGAUACAUAGCCGACCUGAGAGGGUGAUCGGCCACACUGGGACUGAGACACGGCCCAGACUCCUACGGGAGGCAGCAGUAGGGAAUCUUCGGCAAUGGACGGAAGUCUGACCGAGCAACGCCGCGUGAGUGAAGAAGGUUUUCGGAUCGUAAAGCUCUGUUGUAAGAGAAGAACGAGUGUGAGAGUGGAAAGUUCACACUGUGACGGUAUCUUACCAGAAAGGGACGGCUAACUACGUGCCAGCAGCCGCGGUAAUACGUAGGUCCCGAGCGUUGUCCGGAUUUAUUGGGCGUAAAGCGAGCGCAGGCGGUUAGAUAAGUCUGAAGUUAAAGGCUGUGGCUUAACCAUAGUACGCUUUGGAAACUGUUUAACUUGA
rnacentral:rRNA from 1 species